GACAGAGGCCUCAAGCGUUAGGCGGAAUCACUGGGCGUAAAGCGCACGUAGGCGGCUUUCUAAGUCAGAGGUGAAAUCCCGGAGCUCAACUCCGGAACUGCCUUUGAUACUGGAAAGCUUGAGUUCGGGAGAGGUGAGUGGAACUGCGAGUGUAGAGGUGAAAUUCGUAGAUAUUCGCAAGAACACCAGUGGCGAAGGCGGCUCACUGGCCCGAUACUGACGCUGAGGUGCGAAAGCGUGGGGAGCAAACAGG
rnacentral:rRNA from 1 species